rnacentral:rRNA from 1 species
CCCUGCCCUUUGUACACACCGCCCGUCGCUACUACCGAUUGAAUGGCUCAGUGAGGCCUUCGGACUGGCCCAGAGAGGUGGGCAACUACCACUCAGGCGCCGGAAAGUUGUACGAACUCGGUCAUUUAGAGG